AUGGUCUUGCUUUAUCGGGCUUGCCAGCGAAAAUAUAAAGGUUGCAUGCUAAAUGAAUUUAAAUAUUCUGCAGUUUUGGAAUAUCAAACUUGGUCGACCAUUCUACGUGUGAAGUUUCUUCGUGAACUAACUCACAAGAUCUUCCGGCUCCUACUACAUGACAGAGUUGAUUAUAAUUGUGCUCUAUGCGCUGAUUCAACAGAGGAGACUCUUAUUCACCUCUUCUGGAAUUGCCCUUUCUCACUCAGCUGUUGGACAAACCUGGUCCCUACCAAGCAAAGAGGGAUUUCUGCUUUUGAUGAAAUUGUUCUGACCACGAUCUCGAAAGCUAUCUAA
rnacentral:rRNA from 1 species